UAAGGAAUAUUGCUCCAUGGGAGAAAUCCUGAAGCAGCAACGCCGCGUGGAGGAUGAAGGGUCUAUGACUUGUAAACUCCUGUAAAGAAGGAAAAAAUUCCCAUUAGAUGGGAGAUGAUGGUACUUCUGGAGUAAGCCCCGGCUAACUACGUGCCAGCAGCCGCGGUAAUACGUAGGGGGCAAGCGGUGUCCGGAUUUACUGGGUGUAAAGGGUGCUCAGGCGGAUUUGUAAGUAAGAGGUGAAAUCUUACAGCUUAACUGUGAAACUGCCUUUGAUACUGUAAACCUAGAGUAUGGAAGAGAGUGAUGGAAUAUCUGGUGUAGCAGUGAAAUGCGUAGAUAUCAGAUAGAACACCAAUGGCGAAGGCAUUCACUUGGUCCAUUACUGACGCUAAAGCACGAAAGCGU
rnacentral:rRNA from 1 species